rnacentral:lncRNA from 1 species
CCUGGUGACAGAGUGAGACUCUGUCUCAAACACACACACACACACACACACCCCAGAUGAGAAGUUGCUGCCUCCGGGAAGUUUCCCUUGACGUGUCCGUGCCCCACGCCUUUGCUUCCAGAUUGCCUUGGACUUAACACGUGUUCCUUAUCAGCUGGCUGCUGUCCUUUGACUUCCACCAGAUGGUGUGCUUCCUGGAGGCACAGGUUCUGUCUUUCAUUAAGACCUGACCCAUCUCAGGACAUAGGAAGCACUCUGGGCAAGAGGUAUGAGCCGGGAUGAAGUGGACUCCUUGUCUGGAGGUGGUGCUACACACCUUGGAGGGGCUCCUGGGAGCUACUGAGAAUGUCCCCUAAGUCAGUAUUCCUGCCUCAGCUGAAAUGCCAGUCUUCAGCCUCAUCUACUGCACACUUGAGUCCAUGAGAUUUUAGAGUGCCCCGCCACCUGCCUUCUACCUGGAGCCUUCCUUCCAGGUCCUUCUUCAACAUCAGCUCCAGGAUCUGCAAGAUCUUUGGAUAUGGCCGCUGCAGAAGGAAGGAGAACCACUUCCUGGAGAAGCAGGAGUGAGCCAGGAUCUGCCACACAAGAGAGCCGGGAACCCAGGGCAUGGGUUAAGGCGAGGAGCAGGUCCGGAGGGAAGAUCUGAGGCAAAGAGGUAGAGUUCACAGGUCCUACACCCCUCGCACCUACACAGUGUCCCUCCUCUGAUGCUGAGGCUCUCUCUGCCUUCCGAGGAGAAAGUGGCGACGUGUCCUGUGAAACCGCAGACUUAACACAUCUUCCAAAAGCCAGCUUGGCAGGAGGUCACUGCUAGAAGCACCUCUGAAAUAAUCUGAGCCGUCUUACCUGUUCCCCUUUUUCAGAUGGGAACACUGAGGCAGCCACCCUGCAGAGUGAGUCUGCAGUGCUCCUGAGCCACCCCCCUCCAGGCUUGGCAAACUCACUGCCUUCUUGUCUGUUGCCUUGACUGCAGGGAGGACCAGAGGUGCUCAUUUCUGGGAGGGUCUAGGAUCUGCCAGCUGCACAGUGUCCAAGUCAAGGGCUUCAGCAACGACAAUUAACAAAUUCCUUUCUCUUUGCAGAGAGCCUGUCACCUGUGCUGCCUUGAGAUGCUGACAUCUGAGGAUGCCCCAGACAGGGCCUGUGGCUGCUUUCUGAAAUAGUGCAGCACCUUCUCUGCUUCCUCCUCAACCUUCUCCUUCACAGCAGAACCCUGCCUCCUUCCUCUCCCCACAGGCUUGUUUCAGCAUUGAUUUGAUCAACUGAGCACCACGAGAACACAAACCACAUUCCUUUGUUUUUUCAUCACGUUACCCCCAGCACUUAGGACAGUGCCUGGCACAAAGGAGGUAGUCUGUAAAUAUUUGCGUAAUGAAUGAAUAAAGGAGGGCAUGAGUACAUCUCCUCUGCCCAGCACGGAUGACAGGCUGAGGGUUUGAAUCCAGGACUCUCUCACCGUAGCCCUCAUUCUCACUGCAUCCUCACCUUCGUCCUCCACCCCCCACCCCCCCACUGGGUUCCUUGGGGAUGGCAGGGGUGGAGUUCCUGGCAUCCAGUUCUGAGCAUCAGCUCUGCCAAGUAGUGGUGGCGGGGGGGUUUUCAUGAAAGAAUCCCCCUCGCUCCCUGUGAUGUUGGACAUUUUUCCUUGUCUGUGUAGUUUCAGGCUUUGUCUCUCUGGCCUUAUACAAUAUUUAAAAACAUUCAUUUUCCAGUUAAACAAACUGGAUUGGAUACUGUUGUUUGCAACUAAGAACCUUAAUAUUGGGUGAUCUUCCCAAUAUUUUGCAGAACAGCAGCAUCACCGCUUUUCCUGCCAUCAGACUGGGCCCUACCAGUUGUAAGAAGAAAACCCAUUGCAACACCUACCUCUUAAUGGCCACUCCAAGCUACACAAAAACCUGAGUGAUGUUUCAACAUUAAAGCCUUUUCUUUUUUUUUUUUUUUUUUUACUUUUGGGCCAGGUCAGAUUGAGGGGUAGGUUGUUCUCCUGGUCUCUCUGAAGGAGAAGGGAAGGAGCAUGAGGGUCAAUUGUCUGCUUAUCUAAGAAAUCCCCUUCCCUGAAGUUGUGUGUGUGUGUGUGUAUCUCUGUAUGUGUGUUGUAGGGUGGUGGUGGUGGUUUGUUAUUUCAGUUACAGCAAUAACAACUACCCAUUUAGUGGACACCGACCAUGUACCAGGCUCCAUGCUUAGCCUUUUACACGCAUUAUUUCAUUUAAUUCCCAAGAAUCCUGUGAAGGAGGGUGCAUUAUGGUCCCCAGUUUACAGAGGGGGAUAUGGAGGCACGGUGAUGUCACGUAACUGCCAUAUUGUUUUCCUGGGGCAACUAGAACAAAGGACUACAGACUGACUGGUUUAAACAACUGCAAUUUACCCUCUUAAAUUCUGGAGGCCAGAAGUGUGAGAUCAGGGUGUCCACAGGGCUGCGUUUGCUCUGAAGAAGCUGGGGAAGGAUCUGUUCCAGGCCUCUCUCCUGGCUUCUGGAAGCUCCUUGACUUGUGGUCACAUAAAUCCAGUCUUCACAUAGUGUUCUCCCGUCUGUCCCCUUUUUAAGGACACCAGUUGUAUUGGAUUAGGGCCCACACUGAUGACCUCAUCUUAACUUGAUUACCUUUGUAAAGAGCCCAUCUCCAAAUAAGGUCACAUUUGGAGGGACCUGGGGGUUACGACUCCAAGUAGCUUUUUUGGGAGGACACAGUUCAACCCAUAACAGCUGAUAAAUGGCAGAACCCAGGCAUAUGUGACAGACCCAAAGGCUUUGUCCUUUGGGAGGAAGAUUGUGUAAAUUAGAGCCCAGACUUUCCAGCCAGGCUAUAAAAGUCCUAAUUCUGGGUUUGUCUGAAUUUGGGAAUUUGGGGAUCUAAGAAGCAGCUUAUUAGGUAAGGUGGGCGUGGGGGUGAGAAAGGGUGAGGCAUCAAGCCCCCCAUCACUGUUUGUGACUGAGCUUAAUCCCAUUGGGAAUGCUGGGAGCAGGGCCAGACAAUUCCUCGCAGCAGCUAUCACCCCCUUUCCCUAGGAGAGCAAGUGUUUAUGCACCAGUGGAGAUAUUCAGGCACCAGUCUCCAUAUGGACUGAGGGUUUCCGGCUGAUCUGGGCCUGGGCCCUCCUUGUGUGGCUUCCAAGGAAGCCCUCAGGCAAAGAGAUGCAGACACUAGCACUUGGAAAUCAGCUGGUGGCACCGAAGGAGUCAGGUCCGGGUGCACCCCACUUAGGAGUUGGCUGGACCAGAACAGGGGAGACAGAGGAAUAGUUUCAGCAGCACAAACGCUGCGAGAACCCAGGUGGAGGCCCUUAAUCUCACCUGAAGAGGUCAAGGCUGGCGUCGCAGAGGAGGCAGCGCUCAUCCUGGAUUUUGAAGGAUGAACUGAAUUUUAUCAGGUCACCAGCUGCCAUGAAGAGAACAUAACACACCAACAAUGGAGAGAGGUCUGGAAUGGAUAGAGAUCUGAGGUUUUUCACCCAGUUGGAAAAUGGUACAGCAGGAGUGGCUGACAUGGCCCAGGGGUUGUAUAUAGAAUCACAAUGAUAGGAAAAGGGCAGUUCUGCUCUUGCCUUACCGCGUGAUCCUGGAGAGUGUCACCUGUCCCUCAGGUUCUCGUUUACAACAGAAGGUGGCGCCACGUGUGAUAAUUCAAGCAUCCCUUUUAACACUCAUGUAAUCAUGUAAUGCAGCCAAUAAACACUGCCACAAGGAUCUGUUUUACAGUUAUGCUCCUUAGAAGCAUUUAUGAAGCAUUUCACACGAAUUCUUCUAGUACUUGCUGGGAAUGUCCCUGCAGGUCCUGUGCUAUGCUGCCUGAACUUGGGAUGCCAAUUCAGCCACUGUUUUCUCCUCUGUAAGGUGGGGAUGACAAAAUCUGCUCUGCCCACUUCUCAGGAAUGCAUGAAGUAUGACAUUAGAGAAAGCCUGGCGAAGAAGUUUUUGUUUUUUGAGAGGGCAGCAUGGAGAAGGGGUUUCUUUCUUUUCUUUUCUUUUCUUUUUUUU